rnacentral:rRNA from 1 species
CACCGCGGUUAUACGAGAGACUCCAGUUGAUAGCUACGGCGUAAAGAGUGGUUUGGGGCCCCACCCGAAAUAAAGCCAAAGACCUCCCAAGCCGUCAAACGCACCCCGGAGGCACGAAGUCCAAACGCGAAAGCAACUUUACCUCCCCCGACGCCACGAAAGCUAAGAAA